rnacentral:misc_RNA from 1 species
CCCCCAGCCGCGUCCUUGUUGCGCGACAGCCAGCGCGCGUAAGCGUCCGACACCCGCAGCGCCGAGUCGUCGAGCUUGUAGGCGCGCUCGAAGCGGACGCCGGCUUCCUUCUGCUUGUUGGCCAGUUCCAGGGUCAUGCCGGAAUGCAGGGGUCCUUGAAGAUCGGAUACCACUCCGGUCCCGCCAGCUUGUCGAUGGCGCUGAUCGCGGUCUGCGUAUUGCCCGCGCCGUAGCUCGCCCAGCC